GAGAUUUGAAUUUAUCACAAUGCAGAAUACCAGCCAAUCCACCAGCCGAGCAGCCUGAAAGAAUAGCAUUCUGAGCAUUUUUCAUGCCUUUGGCCAAUAAAUCAUCGAUAACAGCCUGCCAAACUCUUUCUCCUCUGAAGUACAGUUGAGUUUUGGGAUCAACUGCUUCCACAUCACCAGUAAACGAUGACCCAUCACAGUACUUAAUCUUGAUUCUAUUCCAGUUGUAAAAAUCAGGAUUAGCUGCUUGCUUGCUCCCUAGUAUGCCAGAGAAACCCAUUGUCUUCUCCAUUUUCGAUGAUGAACCCUUGUAUGUGUUCUUUCUUUCCAGGCAGCUUGUGAUAUCAUCACACCAUCCUCCUCCCUCCAUGUGAACCAACCAGUUAUUAAUUCCAGAACCAGAUCCCCUUUGCAAGUGAUAAGCUGGUGGACUUCCAUCCAAACAUACAGCUCCUUUAGCUUUUGCAGUUUCAACAAUAGUAAUAGGAAUGCCACCUCCUUCUGCUCUGAUCAGCAAUAAUAAACAGACUAGAAAUAAAAGAUAACACCACUGAUGACUAAAUCUUGAAUCACCCAUUUCUGUACUAGUUAGAAAAGAAAA
rnacentral:misc_RNA from 1 species